GACGAACGCUGGCGGCGUGCUUAACACAUGCAAGUCGAGCGGAGCGGCGUACGGGUGAGUAACUCGUGAGUAUCUGUCCCCCUCUCUGGGAUAACAGCUGGAAACGGCUGCUAAUACCGGAUAGUGGGGGAUGACUCGCGUCCUAUCAGCUUGUUGGUGGGGUAGUGGCCUACCAAGGCGACGACGGGUAGCCGGCCUGAGAGGGGGACCGGCCACAAGGGGCUUAGAUACGCACCAGACUCCAACGGGAGGCAACGGUGGGGAGUAUUGCGCAAUGGGGGAAACCCUAUUGCAGCAACGCCGCGUGCGGGAUGACGGUCUUCGGGUUGUAAACCGCUUUCAGCCAUGACGCGGUAGUGGCAGAAGAAGCACCGGCUAACUACGUGCCAGCAGCCGCAGUAAUUC
rnacentral:rRNA from 1 species